AGCUCCAUGGUGCAAUGGUUAGCACGUCUGCUUUACACUUAAAAGGUCCUGGGUUCGGGCCCCAGGUGGAGCCA
rnacentral:tRNA from 1 species